UCAACCAAAUCAUGAACUUUAAUUCCCAGAUCCGUGAAUUAUAAUAGAGACAAACAUUUGGCAGUGACUUCAAUUGAACACACUCCGCAGCAAAUACAAAUUCUGUUAAGAAAAUAAUGAAGGCGACCUGUGAUAAUUAGGCAGCAAUUUUAAAAAAGGUCUAAAACACCUUAAUGAGCCUCAACUCUGGGGGAGUGGAGCCGAUCACUCUUAAGUCAGAACGCUGAAUUCACUUAAGAAUGUUAUCUGAAAUCCACUUUCGGCUACACCUGCAGAUUUUAGGAUUAGAAAUAAGAUUCAGGCUUUAGUUUGCUUGUUUCUUAAUGAGUUUCCUCGUUAAGAGACAGUGUGACAGUGACAGGUCACAUUAAAUCCAACCUCCAACCUACAUCAUCCACUAAAAAUGCAAAACUCUUUCAUUAAAUAACUAAAAACCAAGAGCAGCUGGGACCCCAACUAACUCACUAACUAACUAACUAACAACUACCUACAGCAGCUACUGCAGUCAGAUCUAAACACUGACCUGCUCCAGCAUGUGCUCUAGGCCCGGUCUGGACCACGCGGUCAGGACCCAGUAGGGUCUGGACCCAGUAGGAUCUGGACCCAGCGGAGGGGGUCUGGACCCAGUGGUCUGGACCCAGCAGAGGGGGUCAGGACCCAGUAGGGUCUGGACCCAGCAGAGGGGGUCAGGACCCAGUAGGGUCUGGACCCAGCAGAGGGGGUCCAUCCCUUUUAAUGUUGCUACUGGAAAAGUGCAUGAGGAGCCUCCAGCAGUCUGGAGGCAACAUGGGAGGGAGGGGGAGGGAGAGAGGGAGGGAGGGAGGGGGGAGGGAGUGGGAGGAGAGACUGGUCCGGGCCCAAGGGGCCAGUCAGGGCGCUGACGGGGUUGAUGUCAUCGUCAGUGUACAGGGGUCAUGGGGGUCAUGGGGUUCACGUGGGUCAUGGGGGUCAUGGCUCACGCUUGGGGGUGACGUAGAACCCUGGCACACGGAGUCUUCAGUCCGGAGUCCGGCAGUGGCUGGACCAGCAGAUGGACCAGGGGCGAUGGAGGUGGUGGGGAGGGAGUCGGAGUUGGUGGGUGGUGGGGAGGUGGAGGUGGUGAUGGG
ensembl:lncRNA